rnacentral:ncRNA from 1 species
ACAGAGAACGCUACCAAGCGUUCAUAGCGACGUCGUUUUUUGAUCCUUUGAUGUUGGCUCUUCCUAUCAUUGUGAAGCAGAAUUCACCAAGCGUUGGAUUGUUCACCCACUAGUAGGGAACGUGAGCUGGGAUUAGACCGUCGUGAGACAGGUU